rnacentral:lncRNA from 1 species
CAGAUCAUGUGAGAAAGUCAGAAGACAACUGUCUGGAGCUGGUCAGUGGUUUCCUUCAUUUGGUUCCUGGAGAUGGAACUCAAGUUGCCAGGCUUGGCAGCCAAUGCCUUUGCCUGCUAGCCUACAAAAAAAAAAAAAGAAAGAAAAAAAAAUUCUUCAAAAGAUGUGGUAAUAACCUAAAUUCCUCUUCCCUAGACAUCUCCUUGUUUCAUAUUCUGCCUUCCUUUUUAGGUCCCUCUGGAUGUGUUGCCUUCUCUACACAAUGCUUCACAUGAGUUGGAGAAGAAUAUUCUGUGGCCAUCGCUUUCGUGACUUUGGACCAGCAUGCUGGUGGCAUCUGUCUGCCCCCUUCUAAGGUGAAAACUGGACAGAGAAGACAAAACAUGAUCAGGGUCAGAAGACAUACUUUCCCAGUGAUUGCCUAUCUGUACUAGGUGCUCAGGGAUAUUUACAGGAAGAUACAUUCAGCACAUCAUAGCAAUGGAAGCUGCUGGCAGGCUCUGCAAACCUGACCUCCACUAGAAGACCUGUUCUCUGUU